rnacentral:rRNA from 1 species
AUUGAACGCUGGCGGCAGGCCUAACACAUGCAAGUCGAACGCGUGGCGCACGUGUGUGUUAUCUUUGGGAAACUGUCUGAUGGAGGGGUACAUCUCCUGGAAACGGUAUCUAAUACCGCAUUCCCCCGGAUGCGCCCAGAUGGGAUUAGCUUGUAGGUGGGGUAAAGGCUCACCUAGGACACGAUCCCUAGCGGGUCUGAGAGGAUGACCAGCCACACUGGAACUGAGACACGGUCCAGACUCCUACGGGAGGCAGCAGUGGGGAAUAUUGCACAAUAGGCGCAAGCCUGAUGCAGCCAUGCCGCGUGUAUGAAGAAGGCAUUCGGGUUGUAAAGUACUUUCAGCGGGGAGGCGUUAACCGCAGAAGAAGCACAGGCUAACUCCGUGCCAGCAGCCGCGGUAAUGC